rnacentral:rRNA from 1 species
CAGUAGCCGCGGGAAUACGUAGGUGGCAAGCGUUGUCCUGAAUUAUUGGGCGUAAAGGGCUCGCAGGCGGUUUCUUAAGCCUGAUGUGAAAGCCCCCGGCUCAACCGGGGAGGGUCAUUGGAAACUGGGAAACUUGAGUGCAGAAGAGGAGAGUGGAAUUCCACGUGUAGCGGCGAAAUGCGUAGAGAUGUGGAGGAACACCAGUGGCGAAGGCGACUCUCUGGUCUGUAACUGACGCUGAGGAGCGAAAGCGUGGGGAGCGAACAGGAUUAGAUACCCCGGUAGUCCCUGUCUCUUAUAC